GUGAGACAUCUUAAACUGUUCUGUCUGCCUGCCUGCCUCCUCCAUUGGCUCAGAACAUGUGGUUCUCUUUUGACUCCAUCUUGAUCUGCUGGAGGCUUUAACAACUGGAAACCUUCAACUCUGGCUUGUCCAGAACUGCGCUAUGAAAAGCGCUAUAACAGCUGAAUAAAUAAUAAUGAUUAUCAGCAGGGCCUUUUUCAGUCUCAGCAAAUUGACUGAGUUUCUCCAGGGUUUGUUUCAUGCUAAUAUGGACAUCAUGGCUACGGCAUAGUAAUGAAUGGUAAACUGUGGUCUUUAGUUUAAAAAAAUUAAUUGUAUAGAAAAUGUAUAGAGAGAGCAAGUAAAGAGAGAGAAGGCAGAGUGUGAAGGUGGAGAGAGAAGGUAGAGAGAGAGAGAGAAGGUAGAGAGAGAGAUUAGAAAGAGAAGGUAGAGAGAGAGAAGGUAGAGAGAGAGAGAUUAGAGAGAGAAGGUAAAGAGAGAGAGAGAUUUGAGAGAGUAGGUAGAGAGAGAGAGAGAGAGAUUUGAGAGAGAAGGUAGAGAGAGAGAGAGAGAGAUUAGAGAUAAUUAGAGAGAGAGAGAGAGAUUAGAGAGAGAAGGUAGAGAGAGAGAUUAGAGAGAGAAGGUAGAAAGAGAGAGAGAUUAGAGAGAGAAGGUAGAGAGAGAGAUUAGAGAGAGAAGGUAGAGAGAGAGAGAGAGAUUAGAGAGAGAAGGUAGAGAGAGAGAGAGAUUAUAGAGAGAAGGUAGAGAGAGAAAGAGUGAGAGUCGUGACUAGAGGCUGGUGAGGAUCCCAUCUUAUUUUGGUUACAUUAACCCACAACGGAUUUUAAAAUUAGUCCCUAUUUACUGUAUCAAUACACACACACACUCACACAUCCAAAUGUAUUUAUUCACCUACUCUUUGAUCAAUGAUUAAGCUAGGAGCUGUACUGUCUUUCAUUUCUAAAUAAUCUGCUGCCUAAUACUUCCAUCUUAUUGUUUGUCCUGAUUAGAUUUGUGCUACAGUGACACUUGGAACCAUUUCAUGUUUACAAAUGAUAUCUGAUAAUGGCGGGUUUCUUCAGCACUUCCCCAUGACAGCAUAAUAGUUGUGGCUAAAAUGUUGUUUGUAGUCCAGGCAGAUUUUGAAACAGAACAUUCUAAAUGAUCUGAAUAAUCCCCUUCAUCUGCACAUCUUGACUUUUAAGUUAACAUCCAUGGUGGUGAGCUUGUCAAUAGGAUGCAACUCAUUUAUUUAACACAGAAAAUAGCAUUAAAGGCUUUUCCCCCCGAAACCGCUGGCAAUCAGAUUGGUAUAGUUUAUACAUGAUUAGUGCUCCUUUAAAUGUACCUACAGUAGUCUGAUAAUAUGUAGAAUCACGUGAAAAAGGUAGUGCACCCCCUGAAAAAGUUAGUGCACCCUUUGUCUUGCUUAUUUUUUUGACAUUAACAGUGACAAAAGGGGCCUGUGGUUAACCUGAUGUUACCCUCGGGUUCAUAGAGACUUCUAUGACCAUCUUUCGGUCAGCUCUUGGGCUAAAUUUCCACUCUCCUAUGUCGAUAGCCAGCGGUCUGGAUUCUCUCCAUGUGUAGAUUAUCCUCAGAACACGUCACUGUUCUGCUUUAACUACUGCAGAACACUUCCACUACUGUUGAAGAUCCGGCAAAAGAGGGAAACGCUCAUUAGAAAAUACUAACUAGUUCCUGGCACCACACAGCUGCUGCCCCAUGUCCUCUCAUUAAAGGCUGUAUACCUUCCAGACUAAUGGCUGAUUACGGGCCCAUAACGGUCCUUCGUCCCUCCUUUGGGGUCGGAAUGGGACUCAUAAGCCCAAUUGUUGUGGAUUCAUUCAUGUUUUAGGGUAAUUUAUCAUGUUAAUUGUGUUUAUUAUGUACGGUUACAUGCAAGAUUCUUGGGUUCACACUAUAGACGGUACUCUCCAUAUCAGUAUAUGUGUAAUUUACAUAUUAUAUACUGCACCAGCAUUGGGUCAACGACCCGGGGGAGAACCCCCUGGCAUGUGGCUCAGCUGUUGUUUUAGAAAACACUUUGACUGCCAUGCCUUGAUGAGGUACACUAGCCCCCAAUCAGGGAGGAUAAAAGGGCCCUAGAAAAGCAGCUAUGGGCAACAGAGGAAGAAGGGAAGAGUAUGAUGCUGUACCCUGCUUUUGUUUUAUUCCUCUGUACCAUUUCUUUUAAUAAAACCCCCUUCAGAGCACCAGAACACAGAGGCACUGUGUCCAUUCCCUGUCUCUCCAAUACACACACAAACAAAUAAUAACACUUACUGUGUAAUAAAGGACAUAAAAGGGAUCAGUGUACUCAAUAUGUGUACCAGUUUUACUAGAUUGCUUUAUGGCCAAAAUGCUGAUGCCUUGCUGCUCUGCUCUUUAACUUUCCACCUAGUGCUCCUUCUCUCUAUAAAGUGUGGCUCACUAAAUAAAGGCUGGAGACAGUUUUACAAGGAGAGAGGAGAAGAGGAUGUGAAUGGCACACAGGGACGCACACAGCAGAUAGCAGCUCCGGCACUGAACUUCAGCACACAGUCAUCCAUCACUGCAGCAUCGGGGCCGUCAGGGCCCAUAGCCGGGGGCCGUCAGGGUGGGGCCGGGGCAGAUGGGUAGGGAGGAAGCAGCCCUCGGUCCUCUAGCGGCCCGGCCAGAACUGCAGAGUGAGACGGGGCAGGAGGUGUGAUGUGUACUGACACACACAUACACACACACACACACACAACCACA
ensembl:lncRNA